CCAGACUCCUACGGGAGGCAGCAGUGAGGAAUAUUGGUCAAUGGCCGGGAGGCUGAACCAGCCAAGUCGCGUGAGGGAAGACGGCCCUACGGGUUGUAAACCUCUUUUGCCGGGGAGCAAGGGCGGGGACGUGUCCCGGCCCGGAGAGUACCCGGAGAAAAAGCAUCGGCUAACUCCGUGCCAGCAGCCGCGGUAAUACGGAGGAUGCGAGCGUUAUCCGGAUUUAUUGGGUUUAAAGGGUGCGUAGGCGGGCUUUUAAGUCAGCGGUAAAAAUUCGGGGCUCAACCCCGUCCGGCCGUUGAAACUGGGGGCCUUGAGUGGGCGAGAAGUAAGCGGAAUGCGUGGUGUAGCGGUGAAAUGCAUAGAUAUCACGCAGAACGCCGAUUGCGAAGGCAGCUUACCGGCGCUCAACUGACGCUGAGGCACGAAAGUGCGGGUAUCGAACAGGAUUAGAUACCCGGGUAC
rnacentral:rRNA from 1 species